rnacentral:rRNA from 1 species
AUGUCUGCUGCAUCGGGCUAUGUUGUUGUCCCUCGCUGUCCGGUGAUCUUCGAUGGUACUAACUACACCCAGUUCACUGGCUUCAUGCGCAUUCACAUGCGUGGCAUCCGUCUUUGGGGUGUUCUUUCUGGCGAGGUCUGCUGUCCGCCACGUCCGGUUCCUCCAGUGGCCCCUACUCCGCCGACUCCACCGGUUCUUCCGACGGAUGCUAAUCAGGCCGCCAAGGAUGCGGCUAAGCUUGCUGAUGAGGUUGCUAAUCGUGCUUAUGAGGAGAGGGUUUUGGCUUAUGAGGAGGCUCUUCAGACGUACCAUGGUGCUCUGUCUGUUUACACCCAGUGGCUUGAUGAUGAUGCUCGUGCUGUAGCUGUUCUCACUGCUAGUGUUCUGCCUCAGUUUGCUUCUGAGUUUCUGGGUCUUCCUACUGUCUUUGAGAUGUGGACCCGUCUUCGUCAGCGCUAUGAGCCCUCUGGUGAUGCCUUAUACCUUUCUGUGGUCCGUCAGGAGCAUGCUCUUCAGCAGGGUGACUCUACUGUUGAUGACUUCUAUGCACAAAAUUCUGCUAUCUGGCGCCAGCUUGAUUCUCUCCGCAGUGCUGGUUGUCGUACUUGCCCCUGUUGCCAGGCUGUCCAGGCCAAUUUGGAGUUUCAUCGCGUCUACGAGUUCCUGUCUCGGCUCCGUAAGGAGUUUGAGCCUCGGCGUGCUCAGUUGUUUGCUCGUGGCCGUAUUUCUCUCAUGGAGGCACUUUCUGAGAUUCGUGCUGAGACUCGCUUACGUGGUGCUAAUUUGCUGGAGGUUCCCUCUGUGCUCGCUACUUGGGCUCCUUUCACGCCACCUGCUGCACCGACCCCUUCUCGCUCGAGUGCUCCGCUGCUCUUGCCCACUCCUUCUGGAGGCUCAGGUCGCCCCCGUCCACAUUGUGACUACUGCAACAAUGAUGGUCAUAUUGAGUCCCAGUGCUACACAAAGAGGAAACACCUGCGCAAGGCGCGAUCAUCAUCUUCAGGGACUUCGUCAUCUACCUCGACAGCUUCUGCCAUUGCUUUGACCGAGCAGGAUAUUCUGAGACUUAAGCGUCUGCUCGCGGCUUCAGGUUCUUCCUCGACGGGUACUGCUGGUUCUAUGACUAAUGCUUCCCGCACUGAGCAACCACCCUCUACACAGUCAGGACCGUCGCACGCACACUCUGGUUGGGGCUGGCCCUCGCCGUCGUGA